CUGCUGCCUCCCGUAGGAGUUUGGGCCGUGUCUCAGUCCCAAUGUGGCCGGUCACCCUCUCAGGUCGGCUACUGAUCGUCGCCUUGGUGGGCUGUUAUCUCACCAACUAGCUAAUCAGAUGCGGGCCCAUCUUUUACCGAAUAAAUCCUUUCUUUCCUAGAAGAUGCCUUCCAAGAACCGUAUGCGGUAUUAGUCACCGUUUCCAGUGAUUAUUCCCCAGUAAAAGGCAGGUUACCCACACGUUACUCACCCGUCCGCCGCUAAAAUAAUA
rnacentral:rRNA from 1 species